rnacentral:rRNA from 1 species
CAAGGUUAAAACUCAAAUGAAUUGACGGGGGCCCGCACAAGCGGUGGAGCAUGUGGUUUAAUUCGAUGCAACGCGAAGAACCUUACCUGGUCUUGACAUCCACGGAAGUUUUCAGAGAUGAGAAUGUGCCUUCGGGAACCGUGAGACAGGUGCUGCAUGGCUGUCGUCAGCUCGUGUUGUGAAAUGUUGGGUUAAGUCCCGCAACGAGCGCAACCCUUAUCCUUUGUUGCCAGCGAUUAGGUCGGGAACUCAAAGGAGACUGCCAGUGAUAAACUGGAGGAAGGUGGGGAUGACGUCAAGUCAUCAUGGCCCUUACGACCAGGGCUACACACGUGCUACAAUGGC